rnacentral:tRNA from 1 species
GCACCCUUAGCUCAAUGGACAGAGCAGCGACCUUCUAAGUCGUUGGUUACAGGUUCGAAUCCUGUAGGGUGCACCA